rnacentral:rRNA from 1 species
UACGGAGGAUGCAAGCGUUAUCCGGAAUGAUUGGGCGUAAAGCGUCCGCAGGUGGCUAUGUAAGUCUGCUGUUAAAGAGUGAGGCUCAACCUCAUAAGAGCAGUGGAAACUACAUGGCUAGAGUGCGUUCGGGGCAGAGGGAAUUCCUGGUGUAGCGGUGAAAUGCGUAGAUAUCGAGAGGAACACCUGCGGCGAAGGCGGGUUGCUGGGCUGAUACUGACGCUGAGGCGCGAAAGCUAGGGGAGCGAACGGG